rnacentral:rRNA from 1 species
UAUAAGUUAGUGGCGCACGGGUGAGUAAUAUAUAGCUAAUCUGCCUCUUAGUAGAGGAUAACAGUCGGAAACGAUUGCUAAUACUCUAUACUUCUGCUUUACAUAAGUAAAGUAGAGAAAGUUUUUCGCUAAGAGAUGAGGCUAUACUGUAUCAGCUAGUUGGUAAGGUAACGGCUUACCAAGGCUAUGACGCAUAACUGGUCUGAGAGGAUGAUCAGUCACAUUGGAACUGAGACACGGUCCAAACUCC